rfam:Gossypium raimondii Chr04_contig_279, whole genome shotgun sequence.
UAUUAAAAAUUUCAUCUCUUUGUACUGUUAAAAAAUGAUGUGGUUGACAAAACAACAAGACAGUGAUGUUUGACGUGCCACGUGUACCUCAUGCUGACAUAUAAAAAUUAUUUUUUAAUAAUAGAAAUAGAUGUAAGGAUUAUUU